GACGAACGCUGGCGGCGUGCCUAAUACAUGCAAGUCGAACGCUUUGAUUUUCACCGGAGCUUGCUCCACCGAAAAUCAAAGAGUGGCGGACGGGUGAGUAACACGUGGGCAACCUGCCCAACAGAAGGGGAUAACACUUGGAAACAGGUGCUAAUACCGCAUAAUUUGUUUUCCCGCAUGGGAGAAUAAUAAAAGACGCUUCGGUGUCACUGUUGGAUGGGCCCGCGCUGCAUUAGUUAGUUGGUGGGGUAAUGGCCUACCAAGACCGUGAUGCAUAGCCGACCUGAGAGGGUGAUCGGCCACACUGGGACUGAGACACGGCCCAGACUCCUACGGGAGGCAGCAGUAGGGAAUCUUCGGCAAUGGACGAAAGUCUGACCGAGCAACGCCGCGUGAGUGAAGAAGGUUUUCGGAUCGUAAAACUCUGUUGUUAGAGAAGAACAAGUGGGAGAGUAACUGUUCCCACCUUGACGGUAUCUAACCAGAAAGCCACGGCUAACUACGUGCCAGCAGCCGCGGUAAUACGUAGGUGGCAAGCGUUGUCCGGAUUUAUUGGGCGUAAAGCGAGCGCAGGCGGUUUCUUAAGUCUGAUGUGAAAGCCCUCGGCUCAACCGAGGAAGGUCAUUGGAAACUGGGGAACUUGAAUGCAGAAGAGGAGAGUGGAAUUCCAUGUGUAGCGGUGAAAUGCGUAGAUAUAUGGAGGAACACCAGUGGCGAAGGCGACUCUCUGGUCUGUAAUUGACGCUGAGGCUCGAAAGCGUGGGGAGCAAACAGG
rnacentral:rRNA from 1 species